ACACAGUGUUAGGCUCUCUCUAACCCUUUGAAGCAAAUUAAGCUGUCUCUUUCUCCUUUCCAUUUCGGUACCUCUUCUCUCAAGGAUAAUUCUUCUCUCUAUUCUCUCAAGUCUCAAUGGUCGCUCUUUACUCUAAACACUGAUUCUGGACGAUUAUGGUGAUCCAUUCCAGCUAAUUGUGUUUUGUAGAAGAGAUUACCCGACAACUAGCAAUUUAGAUGCUUGAUUGCUAGAGGAACUCUCAAAGCUUUAGUUGCAUAAGAUCUGUACCACUGAGAGAUCAUUAUUGUUGCAUGAAAGUAAAGAGGAUUGUGAUUGAUAUGUUAAUAGAAGCCAGUCAAAAUCUUAUAGCUAAGAACACUAUAUAUCACAACCUUUCCUCUUUCAUAUGCUUCAAGACUCUUCCAACAGGUUUUGGGUUGAAAAACUUUCCCAAACUAAGAAUUCUCAUGCUUGAUAAUCAAUAAAUGUUUGUUAAAGUGCCAAAGAAUACAAGAACCAAGCAAUCAAAAGUUGGAAGAAAGCUUAAGUUGCCAAUGGAAGAUGUCACUGCGUUCACAUCGUUAUAUAGCCUAAAUAUAGCGAUGUGAAUGUAGUGACAUCUUCCAUUGGCAACUUGAGCUUCCUUUAAACUUUUGAUUGUUUUGUUCUUGUAUUCUUUGGCAACUUAACAAACCUUUUUUGACUUUCAAACGUGAGAAUUCUUAGUUUAAGAAAAAAAAUUAACAGUAUUUUCAACUUAGAACCUUAUGGAAGAGUCCUAAAGAAAGCCUACCAUUUAUAGUGUCUCUAGCUACAAUAAGAUUUUGACUGGCUUCCAUUAACACAUCUCUCAAAAGCCUUCUUACCUUCAUGGGACAAUAAUGAUCUCUCAAUGGUAUUGAUGAUGAUUGGCGCUGAGCAGAGGAUGAAGCCAUUGACUUGUACCCAUCUCUUCCUCUCUUGUACAUCCAUUGCACCCAAUAGGUCAUACUUCAGUAAGUGUUUCUACAAGCUCCAAAACAGAAGUAAACAAAUAGACUCCAUCUUUUGUCAUUCCUCUUUUCUAGGUUCACUCGUCGUAUCCUCAAAAGUAAGUAUUAUCUAUGCUAUCCCCAAAUCUUGCGUAACGUGCAGUUUGUCUAAUAAUAUUUUUACUAUAACGUGGUAAAGGCUGAUCUUGAUUUAGUGAUGUGGUCUUGUUUGCUCCAACAUUUCAAAGCUGUAGUAGAAUAUAUGAGCUUAUCACCAAGUAACUCGUUGAGUAAUACUUCCCUUCGAUGUGUGGAGUAUCUCAUAUAGUCAAGCUUUUGGAAAGACUACUCUCAUUUGCAGGCACCGGGCUCAGGUUCUUAACUUAUUUGAAAUAUGAGCAAAUCCUAGGUUCUGACACCUUUUUAUCUAGCAAAAUGUAGCAUAAAGGGAUGUUCGGUAACUAUUAUUUAAAUAGUUUUCUGUUUAUUUAAAUGAAAAGUAAAAAAAAAAAGCAGAAAUCUCGUUUGGUAACUUUAUUUCUAUAUUUUAUUUCUUAAAAUUUCAAUUAAAAUUAUGAAAAUUAAAUAAUUAAAAAAAAUCUACUGUCAAUAUUUUUUUUACACUUUUUUCCUCCAACCCUCAUGAACUCUAUUUUUUUCUCGUUCUCAUUAGAGAUGCCACAGUUAUUAUUCUCCUCAAGGAUGCCAUAGUUACCUCCUCCAUUAUCACUUGAACCUAGCUAGCUCUAUUGUCUACUUCGUCAGGUAUCAUUUUAUUGCUCAAAGUACCAUUCUUCUCCCAAUCUCUUUCUUCAUAUUAAAAUUUUCACUCUAAUGUUGAUAACUUUUAUUGUGAGGGUUUUUGGAUCUGUAUAAAAAUGGCGUAAUUUCUAAAUCAGAUUCUUAGAGUUGGAUUUUUCUACCACCAAGGUUUGUGACCAAUGAGAUAGUGGUGUUAUUGAAGAAGGAUCGAUUCAAUGAAAUUGUUUGUGAUGUAUUUAUAAAAUGUCACAUUUCUUUCAUGAAACAUGUGUGCAGAAGUUUUUUCUAAGCUGCUGGUUCAAAUAUGUGGUAAAUUACACAAUCUUCUUCCAAAUUGGUUUGACCAACAUUGUAGCUGCAUUCAAAAAGAUUUUUUUAGCAAUGGGAAUGUUUAAUUUCUUGCGACAUUGAUUAUUAAUGUUGGUAUGAUACCAAGAAUAAGAGGCUUAAAAAUGUAGGUGUAAGAUUUGGUGUGUCGGACAUCACAGCAUAUGUCAGGAGUGCUUGUAAGUUAAGGGUUGAGAAUUCUAUAUUGCCAGAGAAAAAUCUAUAUGGAUAUGUGGUUCGUGGACAGCAUAGGGUAGUGAAGAGUAGGUAUGGGGUAGAUGAUGGUCAUUGGGAUACUGGUAGUGGGGGAAGAUUGUCGACUCGCAGUUCUUGGAGAGAUAUCUCGGCUUUGUAUGAGGAUUAUAGGCGGUUGAUCUGUUUCAAGGUGGGGAGGGGGGGAUAGGAUUCGCUUUUGGGAGGAUGUUUGGAUUGGUGAUGUUUCUUUAAAGUCUCAAUUCCCUGAUUUAUUUUUGGUGUCCCUGGCCAAAAAUUGCUUGAUUAAAGAUUUAGCAGUCUCGGGAGGUGAAGGGAAUUCGAGUGGCCUAGGAUGGAAUCUACAUUUCCGAAGGAAUUUGUUUGAUAGGGAGGUUUCUAGCUUGGCUCAGCUGUUACAUCUGCUUCAGUAUGUUGCUUUAUCGUCGAUUUUGGAGGACAGGAGGCACUGGAUUCUAGACAAUAGUGGAAUGUUCUCUUCUAAGUCUGUCUUUCAUAGUUUGAUCUACGCUCAUUUAGGCCCGGAGUUGACUUGAGCUAAGAAAUUGUGGAAGAGUGUCUCUCUUUCCAAAGUUAAAUUGUUUAGCUAGUUGAUAUUCAUGGAUAAGUUAAAUGUCCAUGUUAACUUCCAGAGGAGAAGACUCUUUCACUAUUUGUCGCCAAAUUGGUAUGUGUGUUGUAAGAAUGAAGGAGAGUCAGCUCGACAUUUAUUUUUGGAGUGUCCUUUCACUAGGAAGGUGUGGUUUAAAGUGCUUGCCGAGUUUGGGGUCUCUUGAUGCAUGCCUUCCUCUUGUUCUCAAUGUGCCAUUUAGAGGGAGGUAAGAGGGUGGCUCGAUUGUGGCAGAGUAUUGUGUUGGCGAUUCUUUGGGCUAUUUGGCUGGAGAGAAAUAGUAGGAUUUUUGAAGACGUUUCUUGUACAGUGGAGAUUAUCUGGGAUAAGAUCAAGUUCUGGAUUGCUACUUGGGUGUAUAGAUCAAGAGGUUUUGAGGGGGUUUCUUUUUUAGAACUUUGUAGGGAGUGGGGUAGUUUGUGGCUUUAACAGCUUAUGGGGAGUGUGGGGUUCUUUGUGUGUGUGUGUUUUUUUUGCCUUGUUUUUGUUUUUGUUGUUACCACGGUAUUCCUCCGCCAUAAGUGAGGGCUCUCAAUUUUAUUGAGAAGAGGUCAGUCAAUGACCUCUGU